CGGACGGGUGAGUAACACGUGGGCAACCUGGCUCUAAGAGGGGGACAACAGUUGGAAACGACUGCUAAUACCGCAUAACGUAUCGGGAUGGCAUCUUCCUGAUACCAAAGAUUUUAUCGCUUAGAGAUGGGCUCGCGUCUGAUUAGAUAGUUGGCGGGGUAACGGCCCACCAAGUCGACGAUCAGUAGCCGGACUGAGAGGUUGAACGGCCACAUUGGGACUGAGACACGGCCCAGACUCCUACGGGAGGCAGCAUG
rnacentral:rRNA from 1 species